AACGAACGCUGGCGGCAGGCUUAACACAUGCAAGUCGAGCGCCCCGCAAGGGGAGCGGCAGACGGGUGAGUAACGCGUGGGAACGUACCCUUUGCUACGGAAUAGCUCCGGGAAACUGGAAUUAAUACCGUAUGUGCCCUACGGGGGAAAGAUUUAUCGGCAAAGGAUCGGCCCGCGUUGUAUUAGCUAGUUGGUGGGGUAAUGGCCUACCAAGGCGACGAUCCAUAGCUGGUCUGAGAGGAUGAUCAGCCACAUUGGGACUGAGACACGGCCCAAACUCCUACGGGAGGCAGCAGUGGGGAAUAUUGGACAAUGGGCGCAAGCCUGAUCCAGCCAUGCCGCGUGAGUGAUGAAGGCCUUAGGGUUGUAAAGCUCUCUCACCGGAGAAGAUAAUGACGGUAUCCGGAGAAGAAGCCCCGGCUAACUUCGUGCCAGCCGCCGCGGUAACAC
rnacentral:rRNA from 1 species